AUGAUUAAGCAGGCGCUGACGGAGCUGGGAGGCACCUCCGGCCGCAUCGCCAUCGCCGCUUUCAUCCUCGGCCGCUUCAAGGAGGGCCUCCCCGCCGCCCACGACAAGCUCCUCAAGGUCCACCUCCGCCGCCUCGUCUCCCAAGGCGUCGUCCGCGGCUACGGAUCAGAAGCCAGAGCUUGCUACGUCUUCCCCGCCUCCAACACCAAAAGCCGCGGCCGGCCCCGCAAGUCGUCGUCCCGUCUCCUCCUCACCGCGUCGCCGACCCUGCCCCUCCCCCUCCCUGCGCCGCCCACCAACGAGGACGACCAAAAUUUGGAUCUCAGUUUGGAUACAUCUUCUGGAGGAUUACGGAGCAGACGUGGCCGGCCCCUCUUUCCGGCACUCCCUGCGCCCAAGAAUUUGUCGGAUCUCAGUUUGGUUCCUCAAUCUGGAGGGUCACAGAUUAGCAGUGAUGAUGAUGAUGAUUACUCCACUUCCAGUGAUGAUGAUGAUGAUGAAGAUGAUGAAGAAGAUGACUACAGCAGUGGUGAUGACAACGAUGAUGAAUACACUCCUGCCCGUGCAUAUGCUUUGAUCGUCCAUGGAGCAAAGCGCGGACGCCCACGCAAGCGCAAGCGCAAGAGGGGGCCAGGCCGUCCUCGUAAGCUUCUGCUGUCCGCGAAUUCCUCAGUCACCAAGAAAGGCCGUGGGAGGCCAAGGAAGAAGCAGAAACUUGGCUCCUCACUGGCUGCUUUUCAGAAUGGAACCCCAGGAGGUGGUUUCUCGACGCCCAAGAGAGGGCGUGGGAGGCCGCGAAAGGAUGCACAAGGGCUGUCAACACGUGUCAAGAGAGGCCGUGGGAGACCAAGAAAGGAUGCACAAGGGCUGUCAACCGGUGUCAAGAAAGGCCGUGGCAGACCCAGAAAGGAGUCAGAAGGAAUGUCAACGGGUGUCAAGAGUGGCCGUGGGAGGCCGAGAAAGGAGCCAGAAGAUGGUGUCCCAGAAGCAGACUCUUCUGAAACUGAAUCAGACGCAGAGUCAGACUCUUCUCUAACUGGGUCAGACACUGAGUCAGGCUCUCCAGAUGUGUCGAGGUGGUUGAAGGAAGGGUUUGGGAAUCCAACAACAAUAGCGACGCCGCCAGCAGCAGUUAGGCCUGCGUCCAGGGGGCUCAAUAUAGGGUCUCUGAGGCCAACAAUAGAGAGGCCACCAGCAGCAGCAAGCUCCCCUGGAACUCUUGUUUACUCUGCUGCGUCCACGGGAAUGAAGAAACCGCUUGGGAGGCCAAGAAAGAAGGGAUCAUCAAAAGCGCCUGCUGAGGCUGGAGGUGGUGCGUCCACGGGGAUCAAGAAACCGCGUGGGAGACCGAGAAAGGAGAGACCACCACAAGCAAUGUCUGCUGAAGCUGGAGAUGCAGCAGCACCUGCUCCUGAAACUGGAAAUGCGACGCUUGCCUUCUGA
rnacentral:rRNA from 1 species